UACGGAGGGAGCUAGCGUUGUUCGGAAUUACUGGGCGUAAAGAGCGCGCAGGCGGUCGUUCAAGUCGAGUGUGAAAGCCCCCGGCUCAACUGGGGAGGGUCACUCGAUACUGAUCGACUCGAAGGCAGAAGAGGGAAGCGGAAUUCCCGGUGUAGUGGUGAAAUGCGUAGAUAUCGGGAGGAACAUCCGUGGCGAAGGCGGCCACCUGGACCAACAUUGACGCUGAGGCACGAAAGCGUGGGGAGCAAACAGG
rnacentral:rRNA from 1 species